ACGGGUGCGUAACACGUGAGCAACCUACCGAACUGUGGGGGAUAGCCGGCCUAACGGCCGAGUAAUACCGCAUACGCUUUCAGUGAGGCAUUUCAUUGAAAGGAAACCUACGGGACAGAUCGAGGGGCUCGCGGCCUAUCAGCUAGUUGGCGAGGUAACGGCUCACCAAGGCGACGACGGGUAGCUGGUCUGAGAGGAUGGCCAGCCACAUUGGGACUGAGAUACGGCCCAGACUCCUACGGGAGGCAGCAGUGGGGAAUCUUGCGCAAUGGCCUAACGGCUGACGCAGCGACGCCGCGUGUGGGAUGAAGCUCUUCGGAGUGUAAACCACUGUUGCCCGGGACGAAUAGCUCGAUUAAUCGAGCCUGACGGUACCGGGUGAGGAAGCACCGGCUAACUCCGUGCCAGCAGCCGCGGUAAUACGGGGGGUGCGAGCGUUGUCCGGAAUCACUGGGCGUAAAGGGCGCGUAGGUGGUUUGAUAAGGGUGUGGUGAAAGUCCGGGGCUCAACCCCGGAUCUGCCGUGCCGACUGUCAAACUCGAGGACUGUAGAGGCAGACGGAAUUCCGGGUGUAGCGGUGGAAUGCGUAGA
rnacentral:rRNA from 1 species